GGCGCGAUGGCGGAGUGGUGACGCAGCGGAUUGCAAAUCCGUGUACACCGGUUCGAUUCCGGUUCGCGCCU
rnacentral:tRNA from 1 species